rnacentral:tRNA from 1 species
AAUAAAAUGGCUGAGGAAAAAAGCGAUAAAUUGUAAAUUUAUUAACGAGAAAUUUCUCUUUUAUUA